GUUGAUAGUCUGGAUCGGACCUGCGUCAGUUUUUAUCACUGUGAUAUUCCAAGCAUAACGGUUAUCACCGGGUGAAAAUUGGUACAGGUCCGAUCCAUUCGA
rnacentral:pre_miRNA from 1 species